GCCAGACUCCUACGGGAGGCAGCAGUGGGGAAUAUUGCACAAUGGGGGAAACCCUGAUGCAGCGACGCCGCGUGAGUGAAGAAGUAUUUCGGUAUGUAAAGCCCUCUCAGCAGGGAAGAAAAUGACGGUACCUGACUAAGAAGCCCCGGCUAACUACGUGCCAGCAGCCGCGGUAAUACGUAGGGGGCAAGCGUUAUCCGGAUUUACUGGGUGUAAAGGGAGCGUAGACGGCAGAGCAAGUCUGAAGUGAAAGCCCGCGGCCCAACUGCGGGACUGCUUUGGAAACUGCCCGGCUGGAGUGCUGGAGAGGUAAGCGGAAUUCCUAGUGUAGCGGUGAAAUGCGUAGAUAUUAGGAGGAACACCAGUGGCGAAGGCGGCUUACUGGACAGUAACUGACGUUGAGGCUCGAAAGCGUGGGGAGCAAACAGGAUUAGAUACCCCUGUAGG
rnacentral:rRNA from 1 species